rnacentral:rRNA from 1 species
GACGGGGCCCGCACAAGCGGUGGAGCAUGUGGUUUAAUUCGAAGCAACGCGAAGAACCUUACCAGGUCUUGACAUCCCUGACAACCCAAGAGAUUGGGCGUUCCCCCUUCGGGGGGACAGGGUGACAGGUGGUGCAUGGUUGUCGUCAGCUCGUGUCGUGAGAUGUUGGGUUAAGUCCCGCAACGAGCGCAACCCUUGCCAUUAGUUGCUACGAAAGGGCACUCUAAUGGGACUGCCGGUGACAAACCGGAGGAAGGUGGGGAUGACGUCAAGUCCUCAUGGCCCUUAUAGGUGGGGCUACACACGUCAUACAAUGGCCGGUACAGAGGGUAGCCAACCCGCGAGGGGGAGCCAAUCCCACAAAGCCGGUCGUAGUCCGGAUCGCAGUCUGCAACUCGACUGCGUGAAGUCGGAAUCGCUAGUAAUCGCGGAUCAGCAUGUCGCGGUGAAUACGUUCCCGGGUCUU